AUUGAACGCUGGCGGCAGGCCUAACACAUGCAAGUCGAACGGUAACAGGAAGAAGCUUGCUUCUUUGCUGACGAGUGGCGGACGGGUGAGUAAUGUCUGGGAAACUGCCUGAUGGAGGGGGAUAACUACUGGAAACGGUAGCUAAUACCGCAUAACGUCGCAAGACCAAAGAGGGGGACCUUCGGGCCUUUUGCCAUCGGAUGUGCCCAGAUGGGAUUAGCUAGUAGGUGGGGUAACGGCUCACCUAGGCGACGAUCCCUAGCUGGUCUGAGAGGAUGACCAGCCAACACUGAACUGGGACACGGUCCAGACUCCUACGGGAGGCAGCAGUGGGGAAUUUUGGACCAAGGGCGGCAGCCUGAUGGCGCCAUGCCGGGUGGAUGAAGAAGGGCUUCGGGUUUUAAAGUACUUUCCGCGGGGAGGAAGGGAGUAAAGUUAAUACCUUUGCUCAUUGACGUUACCCGCAGAAGAAGCACCGGCUAACUCCGUG
rnacentral:rRNA from 1 species